UACGUAGGGAGCAAGCGUUGUUCGGAUUCAUUGGGCGUAAAGGGUGCGUAGGCGGCGCGGUAAGUCGGGUGUGAAAUCUCGGGGCUUAACUCCGAAACUGCAUUCGAUACUGCCGUGCUUGAGGACUGGAGAGGAGACUGGAAUUUACGGUGUAGCGGUGAAAUGCGUAGAUAUCGUAAGGAAGACCAGUGGCGAAGGCGGGUCUCUGGACAGUUCCUGACGCUGAGGCACGAAGGCCAGGGGAGCAAACGGG
rnacentral:rRNA from 1 species